rnacentral:rRNA from 1 species
GACGAACGCUGGCGGCGUGCUUAACACAUGCAAGUCGAACGGAAAGGCCCUGCUUUUGUGGGGUGCUCGAGUGGCGAACGGGUGAGUAACACGUGAGUAACCUGCCCUUGACUUUGGGAUAGCUUCAGGAAACUGGGGCUAAUACCGGAUAGGAGCUCCUGCUGCAUGGUGGGGGUUGGAAAGUUUCGGCGGUUGGGGAUGGACUCGCGGCUUAUCAGCUUGUAGGUGGGGUAGUGGCUUACCAAGGCUUUGACGGGUAGCCGGCCUGAGAGGGUGACCGGCCACAUUGGGACUGAGAUACGGCCCAGACUCCUACGGGAGGCAGCAGUGGGGAAUAUUGCACAAUGGGCGGAAGCCUGAUGCAGCAACGCCGCGUGCGGGAUGACGGCCUUCGGGUUGUAAACCGCUUUCGCCUGUGACGAAGCGUGAGUGACGGUAAUGGGUAAAGAAGCACCGGCUAACUACGUG